UUUCCAGACUCCUACGGGAGGCAGCAGUGGGGAAUAUUGGGCAAUGGGCGCAAGCCUGACCCAGCAACGCCGCGUGAAGGAAGAAGGCUUUCGGGUUGUAAACUUCUUUUGUCAGGGACGAAGCAAGUGACGGUACCUGACGAAUAAGCCACGGCUAACUACGUGCCAGCAGCCGCGGUAAUACGUAGGUGGCAAGCGUUAUCCGGAAUUAUUGGGUGUAAAGGGUGCGUAGACGGGACAGCAAGUUAGUUGUGAAAGCCCUCGGCUUAACUGAGGAACUGCAACUAAAACUAUUGUUCUUGAGUGCAGGAGAGGAAAGCGGAAUUCCUAGUGUAGCGGUGAAAUGCGUAGAUAUUAGGAGGAACACCAGUGGCGAAGGCGGCCUGCUGGACGAUGACUGACGUUGAGGCUCGAAAGCGUGGGGAGCAAACAGGAUUAGAUACCCCAGUAA
rnacentral:rRNA from 1 species